AUUGCCUGCACUUUGUUGAGGAUUUAUUCCAACGCCAUCAUUGGUGAUGAUGGCGCUGGUUUGCGGGGGCACCUUAAAUUCUUCAGCGGCAAAUUUGAGGACAGCGGUGAAGGGCGCGGCCUCUGGAACACUAAACACUUUGAAAGGGAGCUUGGGGUCUGAGGUGAGAGUGACUUUGAAGGAGACCUUUCCGCCACCAGCACCCGCCAUUUUCGAGCUCUGUGAUGUGGUGAAGGUUGAACCUCGUUGAUGUUAUGAAUUUAGCCUAACAUAACAUCAACCGAAUUCCAAGAGUUAAA
rnacentral:misc_RNA from 1 species